rnacentral:lncRNA from 1 species
AAAGGCUUUAUUGUUUUCUAAAUAACUGCUCACGGUGGGCAGGGAUGGGGAGGAAACGUCGCUGUGCCGUGUGCUGCGCAGCCCUGCACGGGGACAGCAGCUGUGGGCUGCCCUCCUUGGGGAGCUCCCACCCCACUCUGAUCUGGGGGCCCUGCUGGGGCUGGGGGGGACCAGAGGGACCCCGAAGGGCCCCAUCUUCAGCCUCACUGCAGGUCUGCGGAGCUCUGGAGGAACUCACAGAGACCAAAAGAGGGAGGCAGAGGGGUUGCGGGGGGUCGUCCCGCAGUCACCCUGACACCCAAACAGAGCGCCCCAAACCGCCCCUCCUGGGGGGUGGGGAAGGCGGUGGGAGGGGGCGAUGGGCUGAGAUGGGAGACCGGCCGAGGUCAGAAGAUCACAGGGGGCGCUGCCCAGCACAACUCCGUACCGCGGGGCUCCCCUUGGGGCGCUGCCCCAGCACUGCGCCACGGCUGUGGGGGGCGGACCGCUCCACCACAGCCCCCCCCCGGGCCGCGGGCAGCUGCUGCUCUGCGCCCGGAGCCCCUCUUGCACCGACCUCGGGGGCUGUGGGAUUCUCCCUCCGCGUUUUCUCACCCCCUCUCUCCCAGCUGUUUCGCACAGCAGUUUUUCCCACCCUCAGAUCCGCUCCCCUGAGCACCGCGUGGCGCAGCCCCGUGGGGGUCCUGGCUCGGCAGGGCCCGGUUCCCUCGGCCCGCAUAGAAUCACAGAACGGUCUGGGUUGCGAAGGAGCACAGUGCUCAUUCGGUUCCAACCCCUGCUAUGUGCAGGUCGCCAACCAGCAGCCCAAGCUGCCCAGAGCCACAUCCAGCCUGGCCUCGGAUGCCCGCAGGGAUGGGGCAUCCACAAUCUCCUCGGGCAACCCGGCGCAGGCCGGGCAGGAUCCGGCCCAUAGCGGGAACACCGGGACCGCGCGGCGCCGUGCGGCAUCGUGGGGACGCGGCGGGGGCGGCGGGGCCAUCCCGAGGCCACGGGACAUCGCGGGGCUCCGCACCCCC